rnacentral:misc_RNA from 1 species
UCUCCGUUGGUGAACCAGCGGAAGGAUCAUUACAGAGUUGCCAAACUCCCAAACCAUUGUGAACGUUACCUAUCCCGUUGCUGCUGCGGGCGGCCCGGACCACGCGUCCGGCGCCCCCCGGCCACCCGUGGGCGCCCGCCGGAGGUAAACCAAACCCUGUAAUUGCAUGGCCUCUCUGAGUCUUCUGUACUGAAUAGGUCAAAACUUUCAACAACGGAUCUCUUGGUUCUG